rnacentral:rRNA from 1 species
UACGUAGGGAGCAAGCGUUGUCCGGAAUCAUUGGGCGUAAAGCGCGCGUAGGUGGCCUCAUAAGUCCGCUGUGAAAGUCCAAGGCUCAACCUUGGAAAGCCGGUGGAUACUGUGAGGCUAGAGUACGGAAGAGGCGAGUGGAAUUCCUGGUGUAGCGGUGGAAUGCGCAGAUAUCAGGAGGAACACCAAUAGCGAAGGCAGCUCGCUGGGACGUUACUGACACUGAGGCGCGAAAGCGUGGGGGAGCGAACAGG